CAACUGAUGAGAGCUUUUUAGGGUUUCACCUAAAGCCAUCAUUCACCUCUUUCUCUCUCAUCAGUCCCUUAAUCCCUCUCUCUCUCCUCUCCUCGUUCUCCUCCUCGUCAUUCACCUCUUUCUCUCAUUUCAAACUCAAGCCCUUUCUCCUCUUCUUGAAUUGAUUUCUGGGCAUUUUAGAUAGUGAGGUUUUGUUUUACGCAACCUCUACAAUGCCGGCUUAUUACUAAUUUCGAAGUACUCGAUUUAUUACAUACGAGAGGGGCUGCCAAGGAUCCUACCCGGGCCAUGGGCUUGUUAAAAUCGUCUGAAUUCAAGGAUGAUACUGAAUGUGCCUAGAAAGUAAUUUCGAAGUGAGAUCUCAUCUGAUUGAUCUUAACAUUGCCAAUGUCUAGUACUGUUGGCCUUGUGAUACCCUGCAAAGCUGCUGUAGCAUGGGAGGCCGGGAAAAGCCGUUGGUGAUAGAGCAAGUAGAGGUUGCUCCACCACAGACCUUGGAAGUCAGAGUUAAGAUCAAGUACACUACACAUUGCCGUACUGACUUUUACUUUUGGGAAGCUAAGCUUGGAGUAGACACUGUCCCAAUUCUUGUUGGACCAGUCUCCUACUUGUUGUUGUCCAAGCCUGCUAAGGACAAGCUUGUGGUCUCCACUUCCUGCUCACUUCUUCACACUACUGUUGAUCUUGUUAACGAGACUUAAAGCUUGAUGAUGAAAUCAACCCAUUUGUGUCUCCCCAAAACCAAAACCAGUGAUGAGUACCUUUCACGUUGAAUCAUAAUCG